rfam:Lachnoclostridium sp. An14 An14_contig_64, whole genome shotgun sequence.
GUGCCGGUAGCUCAGCUGGAUAGAGCGUCUGACUACGGAUCAGAAGGUCGCGAGUUCGAAUCUUGUUCGGCACA